CUGACUGCAGUGGCAGGGCCAUCCAGUAGCGUUUGUUUUCUUGUGUUUAUGUUUGAUCAUAAACGACCGGGUAUCGUGCGUAAUUCAUAAACAAUAAGUUUCUUGCAGUGAUUUAAAGUGAAGUGUUCCGUACUGCGUGAUCGUGAAAAUGCACGAUAAUAGAUUAGUAAUUCGAUCGGUAAUCGGGUUUUGUUAGUUUUUUAGACUGUUAGAUUGUUAGUAAAUCCAUUACCCGAAUGUGUACGAUAGUGCCGAAAAUUGGUGAAUUACAUUGUCUGUGUGCGCAAAUAUGGUAAAUCCUGCAGAAUGUUGUUGAGAUUCAGCGAUGAACAACGUCAGGCAGUACGGUAGGACAGGCGCAGUAUUCAACGAGGCAGUAGGAGUCUCGUGCGGAGAAUCUUCCUGUGCACAGAACCGACCAGUAAGCUACGGCUUCCAUGAACAUUGGUUCGCUUAUGGAUAGACCUUGUUGUAGAAAAUACACAAUUGCGCAACACAGGCGUCAUUUUUCCAGCAUUUGGCAAUCGCUUUCCAAAGCACUGCUUUCCAUUUUCUCACCAACGCUACAUAAUAACAGUGCAGUCGCACGAUUCCACGCUGUACUGAAAUAGCCGUCAAUAAGCGACGCCCCGAGCCGACAGGGCCGAAAAACACAUCACCGGCACUAACGUGUAACGUGGCAGCCGAGCGACAAUCUUUAUUAGAUAUUAUUACAUUAUUAUGUUGUUCUCGGGCAUGUUGCGAGCAUAUGUUUGCCCGAUCGGGACGGCGAGGUGUUAUGCUUCGACACCGUUGGUGCACAGCACCGGAAAAGCCACCUACGACGUGAGCCGAGCCAGGAUUGAUCGAAGGGAGUGUGCGUCUUCCCUUCCGGUACGCAUGGAUUGUUGCUGUGUCGAUUUUUGGCUCAGCUCACCGACUCUCAAGCGCGAGGUUUUACUGCAGGAUCUCCCUACCAAAAAGGGGUUGGUGGAAAUUCAAUUUACCACCCCACCACACUACCACAUUUCCACCCUUCCCACAUCGCUGAGACUCAGUGGGAUUUACGGCAACGUGCUUACCGUCGCACCGUGCACCAUCAACGGUUGUUGCCAUCGGCCGGAAAAAGAGAUUAGGCCCAAGAACAUCAGCGGAGUAGCACGGUUUAACACGGACACGUUCGCACGCACGGGUAACGGAUCUGCGGACCGGUGAACCGAUGCACAGCAUGCAAGGUUGGCGAAGGCUAAGAACAUGGGCCAAAAUUCGAUCCCCCCGCAUCUAAAACCGUGUUCAUCCUUGCGACGAAGCAAGUAAAUCCAAGAAACUCUGGCCACAAUCUCUCCCAACCUAACCACCACGACAUCCACGGCACACACAGCCACAGGAAGCGAGCAAGCUGUGCAAAUCAGGCAUAAUUAGAAGUAAAUAACAAUCAUUAGGAAACAAUCGAAAUUUUCAUCCCACCACCACCGUUCACACACACACUGUGCGUCGGUCAUAAGGAAGCAGAAAUUAUGGAUAAAGUUUGGCAGCGAGUGGUUCUGAACUGGGGGCGGAAAUAGUUAUGGCAAAAGUUAUAAUUAAUUGUCGCUGCAUUUGGCGCUCGCUUUUGGGCUACUGGGCGGCUGUAUUUCGGUAGGUGGACUGCUGUAUGUGGUUGCGAUAAAAAUAAUGGUGCGGUCAAAGGUAAGCACUAUUUAACCUUGGUUGUGGAAAACUUGGUACUACAGCCUCUAGUGAAGGUCCUGGCGUACCAUUUCUGACUUCUUUGAUUUGAGUUUACUCGUGUAGCAGGAAAGCUAAGCGGGGAAAAAUUCAGCAUGGGAUUCGAAUCACGAUUCAGCCGGGGAAGAGCAUGGAACUAGUACAACAGUCCUAACGAGAAUCAAAUAGGGAAUGAUUUUUGACCUGUUUAUUAAAAGUAGAAAAAAAAGACAAAGAAUUGGAAUGAUGCCUUGUGAGCAUACAUUUAUCGACAGGAGUCGAUAACAUCAAGACUGCUCAUGAUCGCACGUUCAGUUCCUUGGUGAUCUACUC